rnacentral:lncRNA from 1 species
UGGUCUUUGCCAAAUGGGUAUACUCAAUAUAUUUAGAGAUAUAUUAACAAAACAUGCCCAGCAAUCGCUUGGAUGCGAUGCGGACUUAGGUAGGUAAAACAUCAGAUAUUAAAAGUGGCAUGCUUAAAAGGUGUAAAGGCAGCUGCCGUCGUCGCUCCUUGCCGUUGGGUCGUAGUUCUUGGCAUUUUGGUCGGUGCAACCUUCCGGCACGGGCAAAGUACCUUGCUGUGCUCCUUUACCUGCAAUUUAAUUGUUUUGGACGACGUGAUGAGAAGAUGAGCUUGAUAUGCCGGCGGAAGAGCAGGUAAGAAAAACAGGCCUCCACUCCCUUUUUUUUUCCGAAGUAAGAAAGUGAGAAAGAAGUAUGCAUGUAAAGUAGUUGCUGAAAGUAUAAGAAGAUUGUGCGUAGUUCACCUCCUCCUAUGCAGCAAGAGAUGGUGGGUGUGUAUGGAGAAUUUUCUAACCGUAGAAGGAACCAGUCUUCAUCGCAUCCUGGUUAGCAUCACCCAGAGCUGCCUGGCUCAUGUAGGUGUCAGCAAGCUGCACACGCUUGACAUUGUCCUGCUCCUGGACGAGCAUGUGCCCGUACUCUAGCAGCUUCUCGACUGUCAUCUUUGGCUGCUCGAAGGUCACGGGCCCGUCCCGCGAGUUCACCAGCCUCUUGCCAAUGUUCUCGAUUCCGGUAGAGCCGACCCACUUGCGCACCUCAUCGUCGUACACCCGAGCACGCAGAGCACCGAAAAAGUCUGUAUCGGAUCGAUGCAUGAUACUUUGUUAAUUACUGAUAUACAACUUGUCUGCCCUGAUGAAUAUAUAUAUAUAUAUUUGGAAACAAGAGAAAUAUACCAAUGGAUUGUCCUGGGAAGGUGUCGACGAUCUUGACGACAGACUCGUCACUGACAUUGUCGGUCUGGAAGAUACCCUUGCAGACACCGAUACGGUCGUCACGGGUGGGAGCCCAGUAGAACUUCUCCAUACGACCAUCACGGAUCAGAGGAGCGUAGAGCGUCGAGAAAUCGUUACCGGUGACGACGAUGGGCACACGGGGGUUCUCCUCCUUGUUGUACAUGCCAGGGAGCUGCACGUUGGUGGGGGCAUCGGCGAUGUUCAUCAGGGUGGCGUUCACCAUCUGGUUGUUGACGGUGUACUGCGUGGUUCCGCCCAUCCUACCCGCACCAGCGUCAAGAUCGUUGAUGAAGAGGCAGCACAUCUUACCCUUCUUGAUCAUGUCUGCAGCCUCACGGUACCGCUGCCUGAUGAGCUUGGCUGGCUCUCCAGCGUUCCCACUCUCCAGCUCUCCGGCACUCAUCAUGAUGGGGCUGUGGCAAAAAGCACAGGUCAUUAUCUAUUAUUACUAUUAUCUUAUACUCCCUCUGUUCUUAAAUAUAAGUCUUUUAAGCGAUUUCAUCAAGAAACUACAUACAAAACAAAAAGAAUGAAUCUACACUCUAAAGUAUGUCUAUAUACAUCCGUAUGUAGUCCUUUAGUGAAAUCUCUAAAAUGACUUAUAUUAUGGAACGGAGGGAGUAGUAUUUCUUUAGGGAGGAAGUAGAUGAAUGUAAAUUCUUACUUGAUGCCCAUCUUGGCGAACACAAGCUCACACUGGAAUGAUUUUCCUUGACCCUUGCCUCCCCAGAUACCCAAGAUGAGUGGGAUCUGAAUUUCGAUUCAAGGUCAGUUUCAGAAUCAGAAUGAUUCAUUUUAUUGCUGCUUCUGCUAAUAAUCAAUUAAAUUAAAUAACGAUGUCUGCAUGCAUCGAUUAAUUCAACCUCCUUUUUUCAAAAAAAGAAAAGAANNNNNNNNNNNNNNNNNNNNNNNNNNNNNNNNNNNNNNNNNNNNNNNNNNNNNNNNNNNNNNNNNNNNNNNNNNNNNNNNNNNNNNNNNNNNNNNNNNNNNNNNNNNNNNNNNNNNNNNNNNNNNNNNNNNNNNNNNNNNNNNNNNNNNNNNNNNNNNNNNNNNNNNNNNNNNNNNNNNNNNNNNNNNNNNNNNNNNNNNNNNNNNNNNNNNNNNNNNNNNNNNNNNNNNNNNNNNNNNNNNNNNNNNNNNNNNNNNNNNNNNNNNNNNNNNNNNNNNNNNNNNNNNNNNNNNNNNNNNNNNNNNNNNNNNNNNNNNNNNNNNNNNNNNNNNNNNNNNNNNNNNAGGUACCUUGAUGUUGGGCAGGGUCAUGAAGUUUUUGGAGAGAUGGACAACAAGCUUGUCCAUGAAAGCAGGAGCGAUGUAGAAGCCUCCCAUGGUGUUGUCGAAGUCGUACUUCCGCAGGCCCUGGCUGACGUACUCGUAGGAGCUGAGGACGGCCUCGUGGGUGCCGUCGCCCGUGGGCGCCUGGAAGAGCGAGUCCACGAUGCCCUUCCCUCUGGUGAUGUCCUGCUGGUCGUCGGAGAUAUCGUACGCAAGACCCUUCCACUUGUCGGUGUUCCUCUUCUCGUCGAUGUUCUCCGCUGCCAUGACUGUGAACCUGUUGGCCUUGGAGCUCUUGCCAUGGUAGUUCACGGCCGAGGUCACCUGCUUCUUGAGCUUCUUCCCGAGGAAGUUGGUCGGCGUAGAAGCCUGUAUACAUUACAUUACAUUACAUAUACACACAUGAGAUGCCGCUGAAGACACUGAUAGGAUAUCAUCACUAAGCAAGAGAUGCAAUCAAUCAAUCGAUCGAUCAGUGUGUGGUACGCACCGGAGCCCCGACGGUGGAGGAGAAGGCAGCAGCCAUCUCUGUGCUGCUUGGUCGACCUUGCUAGCAACGGUGGAUGCGCGCGGCUGUGCUGGUGAUCAGUGAUGAAUGACUGCUGCUGCUCAAAGUAUAGAGGCCGAGCUAUGUGACGCCUUAAAUACACGUGGAUUGGCAUAUUGCUGCUCUGCUGUGGGGAGCUUGGAGGAGGAGGCGGCAUACACACACCCCUGCUUGUGGAUCAGCCUCCCGAUCCCCCAGAGGCCACACGCUGGAGAUUGGGUUCUGAGCGUCUUGGCCGGCCGGUUGGAUGACUUGGACCGUCAAGACCAAACGCUGCAGCUGCAGCUGCAGAUACGUCUGCUGGCCAUCAAUUCCAUGGCCUUCCACGGCCACAGAAUCUAACCAUUCAUGCUCAAAUCAUCUCCCAUUUCUUCCGUGCCUUUCAUUUUUUCCUUUCACUCGGUCGCCCGUAUAUACUAUCUUGUUUAUUAGCCAAGCCAUGUCAUUGCAUAACCACAAAAAAAGGGUCUCUCGUUGCUUGUUGGAUGAGGCACCCAAGAUUGUAUUCUAGUUCCAAGUACCACAAAUUUGUUGCUGCCAUACAUAUACUGGUUUGUUGAUAACCAUCAAGCUAGGGAUGUCAUUUGGCACCACACAAAUCAAGUCCUGGUUGACAUCAAGCACAUGGGUUUGUACUUUUGUCUACUCCAAUAAAUAUUGCCACUUCGGUAAAAAAAAAUGAAGCGUAUUAAGAGAAAAGGUAGCCAUGCAGUUUUGCUUUGAUGAAAAGAUUAUAGAACGUGUCUAAUGUUUUCAUGUAAAUGUAAUUCGUGUUGCCUAGCUCAAGUUCCCUGCUGGUAUUCUCAUUGUUUGGGUCUAGUACAGACCAUUAAUUGAUCAUUACGAUGAAUGCGAGCCGUUUGGCUCGCACAAUCUUUGUCCAAUACACCUUCUAGUGAUGUUGUCCUUGUUAAUCAACUUUGUGGUGCAAAUUGGGGUUUCCGUAAUCCGUCAAAGGGAAAAUAUGUAUGUAUGUGAUGAGUCAUGACCCCCCACAUCCACAGUACUCGUACCUAAUCAACAAGCUUCAGAUGAUUUCCACAUAUGUGCUAAUCUUCCGACAAGUGCUAAUAUCAAGAGAUAUAUAGGUUGUUGGGACUUGGGACCCUAGCUUGCAUCCAUUGGAGAAAUGAUUAAGCGGAAAAUGACGAUUUAAGAACAUAUACAAUUCCUUUCUCUUUCAAGAAGAGACUUACAAUUGGGUUACCUGUGCGGCGAUGAAUCAAAAAGUUUGAGUGGAUUUCGGGUCCAAAAUAGUCCAACAUAUAUAUAGUGCAUGCAUGCAUCUUAAGUAGAGUAGGACCUUCUACUUGCCGUAGAAGGCACCGGUCUUCAUGGCGUCGUCGUUGGCUUGGCCGAGCGCCGCCUCGCUGAGGUACUUGUCGGCGAGCUGCACACGCUUGACGUUCUCCUGCUCCUGGACCAGCAUGUGGCCGUACUCCAUGAGCUUCUCUAUGGUCAUCUUGGGCUGGUCGAACGUGGGCGGCCCCUCCCUGGAGUUGACGAGGCGCUUGGAGAUGUUCUCCACGCCGAUCUCGCCGACCCACUUGCGCACCUCGUCGUCGUACACCCGUGCCCGCAGCGCGCCGAAGAAGUCGAUGGACUGCCCCGGGAAGGUGUCCACCAGCCUCACCACGGCCUCGUCCGGGACGUUGUCGGUGCGGAAGAUGCCCUUGCACACGCCGAUGCGGUCCUCGCGGGUGGGCGCCCAGUAGAACUUCUCCAUGCGCCCGUCACGGAUCAGGGGAGCGUACAGCGUCGAGAAGUCGUUGCCGGUGACGAUGAUGGGCACGCGGGGGUUCUCCUCCUUGUUGUACAUCCCCGGGAGCUGCACGUUGGUGGGCGCGUCCGCGAUGUUCAUCAGGGUGGCGUUCACCAUCUGGUUGUUCACCGUGUACUGCGUCGUCCCGCCCAUCCGGCCCGCGCCGGCGUCCAGGUCGUUGAUGAAGAGGCAGCACAUCUUGCCCUUGUUGAUAAUGUCGGCCGCCUCGCGGUACCUCUGCCGGAUCAGCUUGGCCGGCUCGCCGGCGUUGCCGCUCUCCAGCUCACCGGCGCUCAUCAUGAUGGGGUUGAUGCCCAUCUUGGCGAACACCAGCUCACACUGGAACGACUUGCCCUGUCCCUUGCCUCCCCAGAUACCCAGGAUGAGAGGAACCUUGAUGUUGGGGAGUGUCAUGAAGUUCUUGGCGAGGUGGACGAUGAGCUUGUCCAUGAAUGCCGGCGCGAUGUACAGCCCGUCCAUGGUGUUGUCGAAGUCGUACUUCCGCAGGCCCUGGCUGAUGUACUCGUAGGAGCUUAGGAUGGCCUCGUGGGUGCCGUCGCCCAUGGGGGCCUGGAACAGGGAGUCCACGAUGCCUUUCCCCCGAGUGAUGUCCUGCUGGUCGUCCGAGAUGUCGUAGGCCAGACCCUUCCACCGGUCCGCAUCGGUCUGCUUGCCCUGGUCAAGUUCCUUUUUGGCCGCCAUGACCCUCACCACCCUGCUCUUCAUCUUGUUGCCACCAUGGUAGUAGUUCUUCACCUUCUUGCCCAGGAAGAUGGUCGGGGUCGACGCCUGCACAAGUAUGACAUAGUCAGCCCCAAUCACAUUCAUGCACGUUGGUUCACUUGCUGCUUGCUUUCAAUAGCAAUUGCCACGAUGAACGCUUAAUUUGCAGAUAUCAACCCUUCAUUUGGGCAGUUCCAGACUUCACUCGCUAUUCAAUUGCAUCCGCAUAUAUAUAGAAUUAAUUAGUCCAUCCAAAAGCUCCAGCUGAUGAACAGGGGCGGAAGGUCAAAGGUACAAUACCAGAAGUGGUGGGCCCGUGUUGAAGAGAGUGGGGGCCUAGGACCCUACUCAAAAUAUGAAAUUUCAAUACGAUUUGAAUAACUUUUAGGAGGAAAUGCUAAAACUCAAUGAAUUUGGAUAAAAUGUGACACCACUCUUAAAUCGUUUUUGUUACUCUCCAUCAUUUACCUCCCUUAUUUUAAUGAUGUUUUGCCACGAGUCAAAAUAGUUUUUAGAUCCGUCCCGUCCCGGCAUGCUGGGCCUUGAAGUUGAUGCCCCAUGGCUUGAAUGACAUAUUGAAUUACAAAACAACCUACUCCCUCCGUCUUGGUUUAUAAGUCAUCUUAUGAAAAAAAAAUCUCAAAACACUUAGGCACGAUGCAUUAAUUUUCUGCUUGUUUUUUGUUUUUUUUUACAUGGAUAAAGGAAUCAACCAAUAAGAGACAUGGAACGUGUAUGUUUUUAAUGACUUGCGACUAACUAGCACGACAUGCAGUGGUUAAUUCAUUACAUGCAAUGAUAUUAAUUAGCAAAUUAAUAUAUUUUUUUGUUUUCCUCUCCGUUUUGAUCACGAUGCACAACCUAAUAUGACCUAUACACUGAGACGGAGGGAGUAACUAAUUCAGCCAAAAGUUCUUACUAAUGAAGAAUGAGGAGAAGCAUACUUCACUAGUUAGUUUCUAAUAUUAUNAUUCUCACACACGGGCUUGACAACCGUGUGCCUCCACUCGAGACUUUUGAGGUUCUAUCUUUCCCUUCCUCCUCCACGCAAUAGCUUCGAAAAAGUGUAACCAUUAGCUUCCCACAUUUCUCAACACUCCCCGUCACCACCCUCACCUCGCCCUAUUUGUAAUUUGCAUCGUGAUUUAAUAAACCUCACAAUAGUUGCUCCUAAAUAAAAUCUCGCUACCACCUCCCGUUCAUUCUCAUCCGCGCCAUCAUGAAACAACCAUUAGUAUUGCCUAAAUUAUCUUUAUCGUGCUAACUCAAUAUUCAAGGUCAUGCCCAAACCGAGAUCAAAUGACCUCAUUUGAUAGCCUUCGCCCCAUGGUGGCUAGCCAUCCGCUGCCCACCCCAUCACCCUAGACUCACCCGAGAGUUUGGAUACCCUAACCCGCUACCCAAACCCGAACUGAACCAAAAUACCCGAAUUGUCGGGUAAUAUGGGUAUCGGGUUAAGGUUUGGUUCUCAUUUCCUGGCUAUUCGGUUUUCGGGUUAGGGUUCAGGUUCUAGUCUGUAAAACCCAAAAUACCCAUACUACCCGAAUUAUUCAUACUAGUCAAAUUAUUUAUGUUAUUAUUACACUUACAUGUUACACAAACUAACUAAAACACCCACACUAUCUGAAUUAUUCAUGCCGAAACUUAAUGUGUGCUCUGAAUAUUUUGGGUUUUUUGGGUACCCGAGUUACCCAAACCAAAAUUUUGGGUAAUUUGGGUUCGGUUAUUUUUUUGACAUAAAAAAUUCCGAUUCCCAUUUUUUUAAUACCCGAAUUACACAUGAACCGAAAUAACCAAAAUACCCGAACGCUCAGGCUGACCAUAGACAGUCUUUUUAAGCCCCGGAAGGCAUGGGUGAGGAAAGAGAUGCCCUUGUCGGAGUCAACACAUAGAGAGGAGGCCCAGCUUGUCGCGUCCGAAUCUCAAAGCAAGAUCACACGGUCACAAAUUAUAUUAAAAACUGUACAAAAUGAAACAAUUCAGACCUGAAAAUGUGUAGCAACUCUGUCAAUUAAUUUAGAGAGACGGUGAGUUUUCUUUUUGUCGUACACACGUUGUGUCCACUGAAUUAAGGAUUAGGAACCACGAGUGUACGUGGAAGUGUAGGUCAUACGUACCGGAGCUCCAACGGUGGACGAGAAAGCAGAAGCCAUGGUGUUGAUCGAUCGUUCUCUUCUCGCUGCUGAUAACUUAAUUACAGUAGUUUCUAAUUAAUUUGAUGUGCGUACGUGCAGUGGUAUAUGCAAGCUAGCUCGAUCAGCUCUCAGCUGGAUUAGGCCGGCGUACUACUAGUACACCUACAGAUGCAGGUGGACUGAGAUCGAUCGUCAGUGAUGGAUGGAGCUGAUAUGGAUAAAAGAGAGGGGUGCAGUGGUUAGCAGGUACAGAUGCGAUGCCGAUCGAUGGAGCUUGGCCAUGGCGUCUUAUAUAGGUGCAUGGACAGAUGGCCAUGGAGCAAGCGUCCAACACGACUGGAGUGACCUAGAGCGUGAGAGACUAUUCUAGAGCGUCCCUGCGUAAUCACGCAGUCAAGCCACAUAAGCUGUGAUUAUCAGGCCGGCUGCGAUAAGUAGCUAGUGAGGCGAGCCAAGUGGAGUGGAUGAUGAGAUGUUAAUUGUGUGGAUAGGGUUGGGCAUCUCCCAGGAGCCACACGCUGAGGAUUGGCUCCAUCCGUCUCUACACAACGGCGUCGACGCGGCUGCUCCUCAGCCUUCCGAUCGGCGCAUCCAACGGCCCAAAUGUGAUCUAAGCUGCAUGCAUUCGGUUCCUUGUCGGAUGGGGAUCCGGAGCAUGCAUGCAUGCCUGCCGUACACCACUACGGAGUACUACAAUACUAAUAGAUGUGCAUGCAAAUUUUCUAGAAUGUAGAUGGUUAUUGAUUGGCUGUGAAAUGAGUUAAAAAAUAACAUUUACACUACACAUGCAUAUAGAAGUAGUACAACGGAGUACUAAUUAGCUGCUAGGAGUAAAUGCAACGUGCCUUAAUCUUUGUUUAUUUUGAAAACGCACGCAAGUCUAACUGUACCUUCUAAACCGUGACGGAGGAAGUAAAUUUCUUUUUUGCGGGUAUGCAUGCAUUAUUACUCUAGUUACGAGACCGAUGCCUUCACCCUUCACCAUAAAAAUCACAUCUCGUUCGUUCUAUUUUUCUUUCUUUUGCAUUUUGCAUGAAAUGUCUAGGCUGGCUUUUACACCGCCACAAAGUACUAAUCCCAUUCCCUCCAGUAGGGCCCGGGUGAAACUUCAUGAAGUAUUUUUAAAUAUUCCCUUCAUUUUUAAAAGGCUGGAAUCGGGUCUAAUGGUUAGUCUUCUGUCCCGGUUCUGGCCACCAACCGGGACCAAAGAGAUGCCUAUAUAUACCCGCACCCUGCGCACCCUGUGCUCUGGUUUUUGGCCUAGGUGUGCAUGACAUGCUCUUGUUGCCACCCUUCUAUGCAUGCACAUGAGGUGUUCGAUGAAAAGCCCGAGCCACACUUAAGCUUUCUCCUCUCCAAGCUCAACCUCCAAGCUCCAUUUUCCUUAAUAUUUGUCUAAGUUUGGCGGUACACCAACUACACAAGGGUUCUAAAAGUUUAGCUAGUUUAGCUCAUUUCAAAUGGUCUAAAAGUAGAGUGGUUUGUGGGUUUUAGUGUAGGAGUGUAUGUGGGAGUUCUUUUGAUUUAGAUGCAAAAUUUGAGCUCAGAUUAACUUCUUAUAGACUCUGUACAUGUAUAGGGUGCCGUCUCGUGCCCGUCCUCGCUGUCGUCGAUCGCCCGCGCCGAUCUCGUUGCCAGCACCACCGUGGUGAGCCUCUUUUUCUUAUCUUCUUUUUAAAAGAAUUUUUUUUCUUACUUGUAUGAUUUAGAUAGAUAUUUGUAUAAAUUACUUACUUUUAUUAUUUUUUGUUAUUAUAUAGUGCGAUGGUUUUGGUAUCCACCCACGUCGUCCCUCGUCCGGCCUAUGAUUCGGACGUGGUAUAUUUUCUUUUAUUACUAUUUGUUUCAUUUAGUGUUUAUGACGAUAAUUAUGCCGACCAAUGUGACAUGGAUGUUUUUAUCUAGGAUGUAUGUGAACCGGAAAUUCCAACCAACCCUCUUGUCGAGAGGUUAAAUUUAGUUGAAAAAGAAAACAAUUACUUGAAGAAAAAAUUGAAAAUAAUUGAGGAGAAGAAUAUGGAACUGGAGUUGCAUGUUGCCGAUGUCGUCGAUGAUCACAAGAUCAACAUGGAUGCAAUGCGGUUGAAGAUGGAUGCAAUGCGCUUGAAGAUGAAUGCAAUGCGCUUGAAGAUUAGGAAUAUUAGAAAAUACGCCACUGAUGAAGAGGCUUGGUAUCAUUAUGUUCUUGGGUCAUUGUUACCUUACUUGUGAUUUUGAUCGCAUUUGUUGUGGCAUUUAAAUGUUUUACAUAGUUGUAUGUUGUUUUAUGAGAGUACUUUAUGUAUUUAUUUUUGCAAUAAUAAUAUUUGAUCACUACAGUACUUUGAUUUUAAUGUGAUGCUGAACUUGUAUUAAUUUGGUCAUUUCUCUAUUCAUGAUGUUCUGCAAUGGUUUUUUGAUAUACUUAAUUUCAUAAUACAAAUGAACCGCCAAUGGAUGUAUGGCGACCGACACACUCCGGAGUACAUUAUGAACCGGGACUAGUGCCCCUCCCCUGCCUACCAAUUAACCCUCCCCACCCACUUAUUUUUUUCUGAUUGGAUGUGUGGGAGGUGGGUGCUAGAAUUUUUUCCUUUGCUACGCACAAGAUGUGUUUGAUGAAAUGCCCGAGCCACACUUAAGUUCACACAAAAUGGUAUCCUCGACAGAGGUUAGCAACCUUAUCAUUUUCAUCUGUAAUUGAUACAAAAAUAUUGCAUGUGUCCAUGUACGGUGGCCAUUUCACUAUUCAUGUAUGAUGCAGAUCGAUGCACGAAAGCGAUGGAUGUAUGACGAACGACGUAGUUUUGGAUUUAUUGCAGGCCUACAUAAAUUUAUCGAUGUGGCUGAGGCAAACAAAGUGGAUAAUUUUAUGCCUUGUCCAUGUGUUGACUGUCGAAACGUCAGGGAGUACUCUAGCUCGAAAACUAUUCAAGGCCACGUGCUUCGGAGAGGUUUCAUGCCCAGAUAUUAUUGUUGGACCAUGCACGGAGAAAGAGGGGUUAGGAUGGAAGACAAUGAAGAAGAAGAAGAUGAUGACAACUAUCCUAUGUUCACUGAAGAAUACGGUGAUACUGCAAUGGAAGACAAUGAAGAAGAAGGAGGUGAAGACCAACCGGCAUGAGAUGAGACCGUUGAUGGUCUUGGUCGGGUCAUUUCUCAUGCAAAGCGAGAAUGCAUACACACAAGGAGAGGUUGAAGUUGGAGGCCAUGCUAUAGGAUCAUAAAAAGUUGAUGUACCCAAAUUGCGAAGAUGGCAGCACAAAGCUCGGUACCACACUUGAACUGUUGAAAUGGAAGGCAGAAACUGGUUUAUCUGACAAGGGAUUUGAGAAGUUACUGAAAAUAUCAAAGUCGAAGCUUCCAAAGGAUAACGAAUUGCCUGAGGCUACGUACGAAGCAAAGAAGGCUAUCUGCCCUCUUGGAUUAGAUAUGCAGAAGAUACAUGCAUGCAUUAAUGACUGCAUCCUGUAGCACGGUGAGAAGUACGAGAAUAUGGAUAAAUUCCCGGUAUGCAAUGCAUGUCGGUACAAGAUCAGACAAGAUGACCCUGGUGAUGUUGAGGGCGAUGACGAGCCCCUGAGGAAGAAGGUUCCUACUAAGGUUAUGUGGUAUGCUCCUAUAAUACCAUGGUUGAAACGUCUGUUCAGAAACAAUGAGCAUGCCAGGUUGUUGCGAUGGAACAAAGAAGAGUGUAAGAAAGACGGGAAGUUGAGACACCUCGUUGAUGGGUCGCAGUGGAGAAAAAUCGAGAGUAAGUACCCGGACUUUGCAGGUGACGCGAGGAACUUAUGGUUUGGUCUAAGUACAGACCGCAUGAAUCCUUUUGGGGAGCAGAGCUGCAGUCACAACACCUGGCCCGUGACUCUAUGUAUCUACAACCUUCCUCCUUGGUUGUGCAUGAAGCGGAAGUUCAUUAUGAUGCCAGUGCUGAUCCAAGGACCGAGGCAACCCGACAACGACAUUGAUGUGUACCUAAGGCCAUUAGUUGAUGAACUUUUGCAGCUGUGGGCCAACCAGGUGUACAUGUGUGGGAUGAUCACAAACAGCGGGAAUUUGACCUACGAGCAUUGUUGUUCGUAACCAUCAAUGAUUGACCUGCUCUUAGUAACAUUUCAGGACAGUCAAACAAGGGAUACAAUGCAUGCACGCACUGUUUAGAUAAGGCUAAAGGUACAUAUUUGGAAAAAUAUAAGAAGGUUGUCUAUGUGGGGUCUCGUCAAUUUCUUCCGACCAAUCAUCCCAUAAGAAAGAAAGGCAAGCAUUUCAACGAUGAGGCAGAUCACCGAAAGAAGCCUAACCUCCCUACUGGUGAUGAGGUAUUGGCUGUGGUCAAGGAUUUGAAUCAAAUAGUAAUCUUUGUAAAGGGUUUUGGCAGUCAAUCUGUUUCGAAAGACGUGGUUACCAGUCACGUGCCCAUGUGGAAAAAGAAAUCUUUAUUUUGGGAGCUACCCUAUUGGGAAUACCUAGAGGUCCGCUAUUCAAUCCACGUGAUGCACUUGACGAAGAAUCUUUGCGUGAAACUGCUAGGCUUCCUGGGCGUGUAUGGGAAGACAAAAGAUACACGAGAAGCACGGGAGGAGCAACAACGUAUGAAAGACCCAUACGACAAGAAGUGUCAAUACUUAAGCAGCUACGCUCUUACCAAAGCAGAGAAGGAAAUCGUUUUUGAAUUCCUGAGUAGUAACAAGGCCCCCGCUGGCUUCUCUUCUAAUAUAAAGGUAAUAAUAAAUAUGGCAGAGAAAAAAAUUCCAUAACCUGAAGUCUCAUGAUUGGCACAUGAUUAUGACGUAGUUGCUUCGAGUUGCAUUGAGGGGGCUUCUACCGGAAAAUGUUCGAUUACCCAUUGUGAAGCUAUGUGCAUUCCCCAAUGCAAUAUAUCAGAAGGUAAUCGAUUAAGAAUGUCUGGAAAGGAUACAGAGGGAUGUGGUCCAAUGUCUUGUCAGUUUUGAUUUGGUGUUCCCCCCGUCCUUCUUCAAUAUUAUGACACAUCUCCUAGUUCACCUAGUCGACGAGAUUUCCAUUCUCGGUCCUAUAUUUCUACACAAUAUGUUCCCCUUUGAGAGGUUCAUGGGAGUCUUAAAAAAUAUGUUCAUAACCGUGCUAGUCUAGAAGGAAGCAUCUCCAAGGGCUAUGGAACAGAGGAGGUCAUUGGGUUUUGUGUAUACUUUCUUCCUGGUCUUAAGCCGAUUGGUGUUCCUGAAUCGCGGCAUGAGGGGAAACUGAGUGGAAAAGGCACGCUAGGAAAGAAAGCAGUGAUAUGUAGGCACGGGCAUUCUUUCACUCAAGCACACUACACAGUUCUACGAAGUUCCACCUUCGUGGCUUCGUAUAUCGAGGAACACAAGAAUUUUGUACGCUCCGAGUUCCCGGGGAAGGCUGACUCCUGGAUUGAAGAAAAACACAUGUAUACUUUCGGCAGUUGGUUGUGAGCACGUCUCAUGAAUGACAACACUGUUGUAGAUCAACUCUACUUGUUGGCCGUGUCACCUUCUUGGAUUGUAUUACAUUUCCAAGGGUACGAGAUAAAUGGGAAUACAUUUUACACGACCGCCCAAGAUAAAAAGAGCACCAACCAAAACAAUGGUGUCCGCUAUGAUGCAACAUAGGAGAAUGGGGAAAAGGACACAUACUAUGGUUACAUAGACGAGAUAUGGGAACUUGACUAUGGACCUACUUUUAAGGUCCCAUUGUUUCGGUGUAGUUGGGUGAAUAUGAAUGGAGAAGGGGUAAAGGUAGACCAGUUGUACGGAAUGACAAUAGUUGAUCUCAAGAAUCUUGGUUACAGAGACAAGCCAUUCGUUCUAGCCAAUGAUGUGGCUCAGGUUUUCUACGUGAAAGAAAUGUCGUCCAGAUCGAAAAACAGAAGAAAAAAAUGAAUACAUCGGACGGUGAGGCAAAGUUUCACAUAGUUCUUUUAGGGAAAAGAAACAUCACGGGAAUCGAGGACAAGACACACAUGUCAGCAGAUUAUAAUAAGUUUGACGAAAUUCCGCCCUUCACACUGAGAAUUAACCCAAGCAUCCCGUUAAAUAAUGAAGAUGCUCCAUGGUUACGGCCAAAGUGAUCAUAGGCAAGGGAUCGAAAUGUAAAUCUAUGUAAUGUAUUAAACUUUAUGUGAUAUGUACUAAUGUAUCAAACUUUAUGUUAUGUGUACUAAUGUAUUAAACUUGGUACCACUUGGUUCUAAAGAAAAUGCACUUUUCCUUUUAUUAGUGGGAAAACGACGUUUUUUGUGAAAGAGGUACCAACUACGAGAACUAAAACAACUACGAGUACGAGAGCUAAAACAACUACGAGAAGUAAAACAACUAUGAGAACUAAACCCUAAACAGCUACGCCAACUUUCAACCUUUUCAGAGCCCAUUUGUAGGGAUUUUAAAUUUCAGGGUCAAUUAGCUCAAAGAACAAACUAAUAGCAAAAAGAAUGAAGUAAAAAGAAUCAACUAAAAAGAAUCAACUCAAAAGAAUCAACAAAAAGAUUAACUAAAAAGAAUGAACUAAAAAGAAUCAACGAAAAUUAUCAAAGUGUUUAUUUGUUAAAAAGAAUCAAGUAAAACAUUAACUAAAAACAAUCAAAAAAAUAUCAACUCAAAAGAAUUUUCAUAAAGUUUUCAGAGCCCAUUUGUAGUGCUUUUCAAAUUCAGGGUCAAUUAGCUCAAAGAAUAAACUAAUAGCAAAAAUAAUGAAGAAAAAGAAUCAACUAAAAAGAAUGAACUAAAAAGAGUCAACCAAAACAUCAACUAAAGAGAAUGAACUAAAAAUAAUCAACUAAAAUUAUCAAAGUGUUUAUUUGUUAAAAAGAAUCAAGUAAAAAAUUGACUAAAAAGAAUCAAAAAAAUAUCAACUCAAAAGAAUUUUCAUAAUUUUUUUUAAAAUAUAUAAUAGAAAACUAAAAUAAAAGAGAAAAAAUAUAUUUAAUAGCAAAGAAUUAAAAUAUAAACUGGGACUAAAAAUUAUUAAAGUAAAAAAAUGCCACCUACUAGGCCAUGAGGACGUGCAUACGACUAGAAACCCUAGAAGCUAGAUGGGCCAGGAUGCAGGCCUGUAGAAGGCCUAGUAGGACCACAGGGUAGUGAGAGUGUGGUUAGGCCCGUAGGCCUGCGUUUGAUAGGAUCUCGAGAGGGUUGGCACAACGGGGCUUAUAAACCACUCUCAACUCCUCUCAACUAGCUAGGUGGGNCGGCCUCCACAGCUAGCUCCAUCUCCGGGCCCCCAGUGAGCUCCUCCUGUCACCACCAUCGCACCCACACCAUCGUUGACCUCGUGUCCCCGCCGUCGUUGCGGGACCCCUCGUAGUGGCAUCAUUUUCGUGCCGUCCCUCGAGCCUCCUCAUCGUUGCCGCGCCCUUCCCCUCCGGUGAGAAGUAUGGCAUCCGUUGUUUCUGUUGACAGAUUCAGGUUUAGGGUUGUACUGAGAUUGUUACAAUCUAAAAAAUGGUUUAAUGAAAAUGCAAUUUGUGUUCUAUCUCAGCAUGUUCUAAUUAGUGUUCAAGUGAAGAAAAGUGAAGACAUUGUUGACUUUUGACUAAAUGUGCUCUGGUUUUUUAGAUGUGCUCUAGUUUUUUAGAUGAGAUGUUUUGUGAAGAUGAGAUGAGAUGUUUUCUGGAAAUGUGAGAGAGAUGAGAUGAGAGAAUUUAUUUUAGGCUUUUUUAGAUAUAGAAACAAAUGUUAAAAUUUGCAUGUGCUCUGGCUUUCUUGUUGCAUAAUGAGAUUAGAUGAGAUGAGUCACCGGCGAUCGUCGGAGGAGUCCUCGACGAUCGCCGGUGAGGAGUCCCCGACGAUCGUCGAAGGAGUCCCCGACGAUCGCCGGUGAGGAGUCCCUCACGAUCGUUGAAGGAGUUCCCGACGGUCGUUAGAGGAGUCUCGGACGAUCACUGGUGAAGAUUCCAGGGCGAUCGCCGGUGAAGAUUCCCCGACGAUCAUCGGUGCGGAAUCCCCGACGGUCGUCAGAGGAGCCCCCGCGGUUGUCAGAGGAGUCCCCGACGAUCGCCGGUGAAGAGUUCCUGACAAUCGCCGGUGAGGAGUCCCUGAUGAUCGCCGGUGAGGAGUCCCCAACGAUCACUGGAGGAGACCCCGACGGUCGUCCAAGGAGUUCCCGACGAUCGUCAGAGGAGUCCCAGACGAUCGCCGGUGAAGAGUUCCUGACGAUCGCCGAUGAGGAGUCCCCUAUGCUCAUCGGAGGAGUCCCCGAUGGUCGUCGGAGGAGUGUACUCUCUUGAAAGUAUAACCCCAAUAACUUCGACAUUAGGGGGCGUCAUGAGCCCCCCCGUUAAAUGACAAUACAUAAAUGUUUCCCUCUCCCCAAGUUAAUUAAAAUGUUUACCUUUUCUUAUUAUUCUUUAUUUUUUGCAUUGUUCUUAAUUUGCAGAUACUAUGGAUCCAAUACACGGCAGAGACGAAUAUCAGGAUGACAUGAUGCAUGGUGUCAUCCGUGAGGAUGAUUUUAUUGUUGGCAGUGUCACCAAUCAGUUUCUGAACGAGUCCGGCGAGGGAGAUGAGUCUGUCAACACAGGAGGUAGAAGCUCCGGUGUGAUAGACGCCCACGCCUCGGGCGAGCGAGGAUUCAGCGGCUCCGAUGAGGGAGAAGCCGACAAGGGAGAAGCCGAUGGCUCCGGCGUGGUGCAUAUAUAUAUUAAUAAAUUAAUCCUGUGCUGUCUAUAUACAUAUAUUAACGCUCUUUCUUCUUUUAGCCCUCCGGAGUGAGCAAAACUUAAGUACGGAUGAAACGAGGCCCAACCAAGAAGAUGGAUGACGGUGAGAGGUACAUGAUCGAAAGAGUCUCAAAAGGCGGGCAAUCGAUUGUUCCCACAGAUGUAAAGAAGAAAUUUGUGAAGGCAUGCAGAGUUAUUGUUAAGGACCACAUCCCUAUCACCACUCGAGAAUGUCUUAAGCCAAGGGUGGAAGGAGUCUCAUAUGUCGGCACAGUAGCCAAAGAAAACCUUUGGAGAAAGCUCAUGCUUCAUUUCACCCUGCCGGCGCCAGAGGUGGAUCCAGAUGAGGAGGAAAUGAAGAGGCGAAACGAGGCCCUAGAGAAAAAAUUCAAGGAGUGGGCUCUUAAGAAAAUGACCGAUCUAUUCAGGGGCUGGAAGAAAAGAUUGCACCAGGAUUUUAUCUUGCAAGAUAAGACUCCAGAUUUCGAUAACGGCUAUGAGAAGAUAAAAGACUAUUUGACCGAAUUUGUGGCGUACAAGAAAUCGGAGGACGCCUUGAAAAAGUCUGCAACAAAUAAGAGGAAUGCACGUAUGAAGAAGUACCACCAUAUUAUGGGGUCUGCUAGCUACGCCAGUAACAUGGCUAAGUGGGACGCACUUGAGGCACCAUUUCUGGCUAACAAUAUCACUCCAGAGCCCUUAACAUGGAUCGAACGGUUAAGAAACUGGUUUUACGGGCAUGGGGCAUGUUGGACGCCAAAGGGAAGGAAAUAUAUAACCAAACACACAAAGAUAAUCCCCUACUACCCAUCGAGAACAUUAGAAGUGUAGUAAAGGAUGUUGAAGAGGAACGGUUCGUUCUCGAUAGAGAGAACGAUGAGCUCUCACGCGCCCUUGGGAAUGAUGAACACAAAGGACGAGCACGAGGCUUACCAGGCUCCCCGCCAUGGAUGCUUGCGUUUUCUGAGGAAAUGAAGAAAUUUCCCAAUAGAAGCCAUCAGAGGAGAAUGGAAAAGGAGGCAGCUGAGAAAGCGGCUACUGCAGACCGGCCGCAUAAUGUAGAAGAAGGAGUAAAGCGGCUGCAACAGGAUCAAAUCAAUAGACUUAGCCAACAAGGUAGCGGCCUAUCUCAGCAUCUCAUGAUAGAAGCUGCAUCGAAUCGGAAAAGCAAUGUCGAUUCCACGCAGCUCCAGGAUGAUGGUGACGAUGAUGCACUGACGACGGCUCCUCCUCGUCGCUACCCAGUGGAUGAUAUCACAGAGAGCACACCUUGUGAGCUAAAGGUGAAAGUUGCUAACUUAAGGUUGACGGUAGCGGUCGGCAUGGUCGUACUAAUUGGACAUAAUCCAACUUGGCAUUGCUCUCCGGUUACAAAAGGGUACGUUGUCAUCACAGUGGAUGAAGUGAUGAAAGAUUAUGAGGAGCUAAAGCUGGACUACCGUGCAGGUGAAUAUAGGGAUUUGACUGAACUUGGAGAAGUCAAGAAACAGACCAUUGUAUGGCCAAAGGAGCACAUCUUGCUUCCAAAUUGGUCGCCAAGGCCACCGACCCCUCAGAGCAGCAAUCCUUCUUCGCCUCCACCUCACCAGUCUCUAGCACAACCGUCGUCUUGACCGCCUCACCAGUCUCGAGCGCAACCGUCGUCUUCGCCACCUCACCAGUCUCCAGUGCAGCCGUAUCCACCACUGCAUCAGCCGUCUUCACUGACCCGUCAGUCGUCUCCGUCCACUGAGGAUCAGAGCCAAAAGCGAAAACGUACCACCACUAAUAGUGGCGGUAGAAAGGGGUUCCGAUCACCGAAAUGUAAGUCGUCGCCCCUCCCAAAAGUACCUCAUAAGAAUAUGGAGAUGAGACCUUGGGACUAUAGUGAAGAGAAAAAUAAGAAGAGGGCAGACGCCCAGUAUCAAAAGUGGAAGGCUGACAUGGCUAACAAGAAGAAGUAGAAAGAGCCAGAGUUCCCGGUCACCCUAGAAGAUCACGCCGCAUGCGUGAAAAUGUUGAAUACUCUUGGACAACCCCCGCCAACAUUGCGAGAAGACCAUGAACGCGCUAUUCUCAAGUCGGCUGAGGUAAAAAAGCAGUGGUUGAACAGUAGUAGGUACAACGCGAAAUCAGUUGCCCAGCUCGGAUAACAGAAAAACCAAUCGUGCCCCCGCUCAAAGUGUAUUCGGAUACAGAGGUGUGCUCGAGUGGAGCUGCGGCCGAGCAGAGGUAUGAUGAAACAACUGAUAUCAAUCCGGAGUUUGUUGCACUGUACAGAGAAGCGGCCAAGGCUCAUGGCAUGACUAUUGUUCGGUACUUAAACAAUAUACAUGAUUUCACUGACGUAGCAUACCAGUACCGGCACGGGUCUCCUCUCGUCAAACCCGAGUUAGUCAAUGAGCUAUCAACAAAAAUGCAAAUAUUGCAUAACUGGUACAUGCGAGCAUCUGCUGAAUAGCAAAACUGGAUCUAUUGUGCAUAUAAAAACGAGCAUUACAGGCAUGGAGAAGGAGUGCUAAUGAUUGAAUUCAAUGAAUUAUUUCAGUUAUACCAACAAGAUGCCCUCGACAAAUCUAUCAUCAGUGCCUAUUGUUUGUAAGUAUUAUUAGUUUAUGUCAUUAAGUCUUACUCAGCUCGUUCAUUGCAUGUAUAAUCUUACUCAUCACUACAUUAAUUUUGCAGAAUGAAGAUUCUCGAAUGCAAAUGAGGACGAAUCUAUGACAUUGGGUUCAUUGACCCAUAUUUCAUUCAAGAAAAAAUUUCUCGAACUGAAUACCAACGAGAUAGAGAAUAAGUUGUUACAAGGGUUAAGGUUGUCCGCUACCAAAAGGGAAAUACUAUUUCCUUACAACUUCAAGUGAGUGUUACUGUCUUGUACACACAUUCUAUUUUCGCUUACUCGAUGUUAAUUGUAUAAUUGACUCGUUAUGUGUGCGUAGCUUCCACUUUAUUCUGUUAAUCAUUGAACCUCACAAUGGACUAGUAAAAGUCAUGGACCCAAAACGCAAACCCCUCGCUGAUUGGGCCAACAUGAAGGAAUGCCUCCAGAGGUAAUCUCAAUCAUUAUGGCACUAUAUCGGCAACUUUUCAUUCAUUUCCUGAUAGCAAGUAAUUAAUAUAGAACUCCUUUAUUUAUUUCCUUUUCUUGGUAGGGCUUGGAAACGGUUCACCGCCAAGUGUUGGGGUGUUUGGUAGCCAGAGCUUACAUUUAGACAAAUGGAUGUAAGUACUACUAGCUAGAUCUGCCAUCUCUUUAUUCUAGUUUCAAUACCAUUAUCAUGCUUGAUUAUGUUCUGAUUGAACUCUGUUCUCGUAAAGUGCUUGAGGCAGGAACAUGGGAACAAUUUAUGUGGAUACUAUGUUUGCGAGUUCAUUCGCCAGACGACCCAUGAGACGGGCAAAAACCGGGACUUCAGAAAAAUUGAAGUACGAUAAACAAUACUCACAACUUUAUUUUAUUACCAUCAAUUGUGUUCGGUUUCAUUGAUAUAUAUAUAUAUAUUGACCCCUUCUUUAAAUUAGAUCAAAUGGUUGCGGGACGGUCUUCUACCAGAGGAACGCAUACGAGCAAUUCAAGAGGAAAUUGUCGGAUUCUUUGAUGCAGAGGUCCUAGAUCUGAAGGAAGAAAACUAUUGCCCGCCGGUUGAAGUGAAAUGUUAAAGUGUAAAAGAGAUGCAUAUGUGCAGGUAACUCGUGUCUACAUUUUGUAAUAUGUUCGACAAAGCACGACAGAUGAGAUGGAGUAAUAUAUUCAUGACGAUGAUGUGCAAUAUAGUUGUUCCUUAAUUGCUGUGUAUGUACCAUCCAAUUUAGUGCAAAACACAAAUUAAAAACGUGCCCAAGACAAAUAAAUGGGAAAAUAGAAAAAAAAUAAGGGGCAGCAAAAUAGCCCCCAUCCAAUUUAGUGCAAAACCCUAAACCCUAAAAAGUGCUAAAAAAGGCAGCGAAGCAAUAGCCCCGAUUCGUAAUAAGAACCCAGACUAAUACUCCUCCCCCCUCGCUCCCAGCCCCGCCACGUGGAGGACCAUUAGCCCCGGUUCGGGGGCGAACCGGGGCUAGAAUUAGUCCCGCUUUUGUGGUACCGAUUCCUGAACCGGGGCUGAUGGCCCAAACGAACCGGGUCUCAAGCCUAUAUUUCUGCUAGUGUUUUAAGCGCAAGUAUAUUAUUGUUCAUACAAAAGUCGGGCAAGUAAAAUAUAACACCUUUAGUUCAUAAGGAUGGAAUGCGGGUGCGUGCGUUUACAUAGGUGAGUAUAUGUGCAUAAGUAUGUGNNNNNNGUGUGUCCAUCUUUACUGUAUUAAAAAAAGCGUUCAUUUUAUACCGAAAAGAAGCAACAUGAAUUUUUAUAGAGAAAAACACCCAAAAGGUAUCUUAUGUCUAAUUACUCCUAUAAAUGAUGAUGGAGUGCCCCGGAAUUGGCGCCCUCGCGCGCGCUCCACAUCGUCUUAUCCACUAGCGCCUCACGUCGGUGCCUGUCUCACGCCCUCCCUACCUUCCAAUCGGACCAUGUCACUCCUUAUAGAGCCGGCAUCCUCGGGGUCCAUGAAUCAUGAGUCACGACCGUGUCCAUGGCCUCCUUUCUGUAGUGUUUUUGUUGCCCCUGCGUGCGCAUUUCCCGCGGUUGGUCGUUGUGGGUGUAGCCAUGCCUUGCCCGAUGGUGUGGAGGUUGCUUCUCGGCUUGUGUGAGCCACUUUCAUGGUAUUCGGUUUUUCCGGGAGUGAUAUAUAGGUUUUACCCCUAAGUUUGACAUAUUUGAGACUAAUUACCCCGUUUAAAAUAAUUUCAUCCAUUGUACCCCAUUUAACAAAAAAUUUGCCACAAUUUACCCCUUUUGAAACUUAAAGCGUUCUGAGUGGUGUGUCAUAAUUAUUAGAUCCAACUCGAGUGCCACGUAUAGAGGUUUUUUAAGGUAUUUUUUCUGCAUACUAAACGGCUUCGCACGGUUUCUAUCUACCGACCAGACUAUACCGAUGGGAAGCAGACGCAUGUCCUCGAACAAUUUAUAAAGUUACACGUCGCUUGAGUCCAGUGCACCAUGAUCAUUCAAUCCCGCUGCAUAUUUCAUUGAGUCUGUUGCGCCAGAGUGGCCUCCAAUCAUGGUACACAUCGCUCGCCUCUAGUCACAUAGAGGAUCGUGCCCAAGUCUGGCCGAGUCCACUUCGCUCCUUCCUUCUGAGAGGGGAGGACGAACGUAUGCGAUGAGCGGUAGGCGACAUGUCAAGUUUUCACUGGGAUUGUUCGAGCUGCAAGCAGCAACCGAUAUGUCAAUCUCCUUCUCUCUUACGCUUGCUUGAAUUCUCUGUUUUUCACUUCAGUGGUUAGGCUUUCAGUUUUGCUCUUAGUCCAGGAUGCAUAUCACAUGGGUUCCGGACAAUUGUUUCUGGUUUGAAGAUCUCCGAUGAGAUGAAUAUUAUUAGUGGAAACAUUAUUGGAUUUUUUUAUUGAUAUAAUCCCGAAUCAGUUUCUGUUUUCUAUAUGUAAAAGGAACUUAAGUUUUCUAUACGUAAGAUGAGAGCAUUUGGAUAACCAUAUAUUCCAUGCUAAUAGCAUGCUGAAAGACACUAGUAAUAGGGAAAUCUGCGAACUUUGUGUCUGAGCGUCUUCUUGUUGUAUGGAUUUUAUCCGCUAAUUAGUGAUUUUGGUUUUCUUGCACAAAUCAUAUGGCAACCGAGAUGUGGAGCGUUAGGUCCACUUUUCAUGUCCGUGGAUACAAUAAUCCAGAGCCAGAGUUGAUUGAGACGGAUUUCAUUAGUUAUUUUGAUAUAAAGGAGAGGACAAAAGAGUUGGGUUUCAACCAUUGUGACAUCGUUUAUUAUGAGAAGAAAGGGGACAAUGGGAACUCCAUGGUUGAGUUAAUAAAUGACACUAGUGUUAUGAAGAUGCUUGAGGAGUUUGAUGCUUAUAAGGAGAUCGAUUUGCAUGUUUUCAGAACCUUGGAUCCAAAUACAUUUCCAUUUUCCAGGAAUGGUGUUGAUUCUUACAAGCCAAUAGUUGUGGUCUUGUUGAAGAGAAUAAUGAAGAGGACAAUAAAAAUGUGGAGAUGCUUUCAGAUGUAUAGUACAAUGAUCAAGUGGAAUACUAGAGGUAUUUGAAUGGGCAAGAUUAUGGAACUUAUUCAAGUGAUGAAGAUUUUGAUGUUGUUGCUGAAACAGAGAAGUUGAGAGCCAUGUAUGCUAAAAUGAAGGAGAAAGAAUUGCCAGAAAAGGGUGUGUAUUUAGAGGAUGAAUUUGAAGAUUUAUUUGAUGUCACAGAAGGCUUAGAUGGCAUUGAUCUUGAUGACAUUGCUCUUCCACAAACACAAAUGGAGAAAGACAUGAAUUUUGCAAAGAAAGAGGAAGCAAGACAUAAAAAAGGAGAAGACAACUAAGAAGAUGGCAUUGGCAAGGAGAAGGGACCAUAAGAAGAAAUUAGUUGACGGUGACUUUGAGCUUUUAGAUUCUCCAAACUCAGAUGGUGAAAAUGAUCCUUUAGGACAAGGUAUCGAUGAAAAUGAAGAUUCACGUUUGAUAGUUUUAUUACAAGGGAGAAAAAGAAGAAGGCCCAAGAUGUUGUUAGACCCAAGAAUGCAAUUUGAUGAUACUUACCUUAAUGAUGCUGAUAGUAUGCUAGAACAACUUGUCAAAGGGAUGUGUUUCAAAUCUUACAUUCUUAAGAAGUUGAUACUACUAGCAUUCUCUCAACAUGCAUAUCAUCCACGUGAGCGUUUUGCCGCAUAGGCUUUCACACACAGCUAUUUACACGAGCAAGUGUAAUCUUUGGCACCCUUCCACAUCCAUCAGAUAAAAAUGUUUAUUGCUAUACUCUUCAUGCAAGAGUUAAUCUCGCUGGCAUGCCUAAUAAACCACAUUCAAUACGUGCAUGCAAUGGAGCAUCAAAAUACCCGCGACCUUGAUCAUGAUAAAAUUACUCGCAAGUCAUGUGUCUCAUUAAUUAGCAUUUGGCAUUUGGAUGAGGUAAUCCUUUCUCGACUCCAUCCUUUUUGGCCAAUGUGGGGACAUGGGAGAUUGAUCCAUUUAAUGGCAAUGCUGAUUCCGGAGGUGUUAUCAUUACCCUUCGUCUUAGCAGCUUAGCUUAUUAAUCUGAACGAAUACAUCUCCAUCGAUCCUCAAAAAAUAUCCACCAAUUCUUCUCAUCUUCCGCAUCUCCACCUCUCUCUCCAAAAUAGGUUUCCACCGGCCAAGCCUUAUGGGUUAUCUCCAUCGAAGGUGGUCCGCUCACUACGCCAAAGUCUUAUGAUCAUUCUUUCUAACUCUACCUUUCUCGUGGCCCCGCGAUCCUUGUCAUCGAUGGUUAUGAUGGCCCAAGACGUUCUCCGAGACAUCGAUAAGAUGAGUUGUACGUGUACAUGCCACCGCCGAUGUCCUCCUCCAACAUCACUAGAGGUGGGUGCUUUCUUUCCUCUCAAUGUUCUCAGAUAUUAACAUAAUUUUUGAGUUGGUUCGAAGGUCUGAUUUUUGUGUGCUCGGAAAUUUAAUUGUAGGAACCUCUGUUCCAUCUCGAGUGAUCUCCUCCGUGGUAAUAAUCUAGUCAGUCUCUCUCCACCAAACUCCUUUCUAACUCAGUUAUUGCAUACACACAUAUGUCGGGAUAAGAUGAAUCAUUGAUGUUUCUCCAAUCCGAUUGUUUUUUAUUGGGGCGCUAGAUGGUGAAAUUUUCUUAUUCCUUUUGUGUUCUUUAGGGUUCUCGAGAGAACAAGUACAUGAAGUUAGAAUGUAUUGUUCUAAACUACAACUACAUCUCGCUAUCUUCCUCCCUUCACACAUAAUAAUUCAGUACAAAUUGUGUAAUUUUAUUCCUCUUCUUUGGUUGUUUUGUAGAAUCAUAACAUAUGGCAUAUUGGCAUAUCGGGGUUCAUUUUCAGGUUAUUUGUUCUCUAUGAGUAGUAUUUAAUUGUGAAUUUCAUGGGAUCUUUCUAUUACAUGAGUUAUAUAAUUGUGUGUUUAACAAUUUUGUUCUUCCCGUACUGCACGACUCUACCAUUGUCACAACAAUCAUCUACCUAUGUAAAUGAAUGAAAUAUAUGUGAACACACUUGCAUUCUCUCUCAAAUUUAAGGUAACUAUAUGUGGUGCCUAUAGACUUAAUAUACAUUUUUUUGUAGUAAUAAUAUCAGUAUGUGAUUAUUAUGGUACUAAUAACAAUCCUAACCUCAGAGGUUUCUUUCGAAUGAUUACUAAGUGGAUAAGGUAUAGGAUUAUGUAGUAAAAUGGAGUGCACAUGUGUCUACUCAGCAGCCAUGACAUUUUGUAUAGCUGGUUAUGUUUCGCUCAAUAACUGGAUCAAGGUGAAGAAUGAUUACUAUUCAGAUGCAUUAACACCGCAAGGCUCACAAAUUAGUAUGAAAUAUAUUCGUUUCUUGCUCUGAUGCACUUCUAAUAGACAAUCGAAUGAUAUGUUAAAAUAUUAUGAGAAAAAACUCAUUACAAUAUAUGUUACUUCUCUUUAUGUUGGUGAUGCAUUCUUCUAAUUAUGCAAAUAUGGAGAUAACUGACCAUAUAUUAAUAGGUCCAACUUUUUAUACCAUUCAAAGAUUCAAAUAGACGUAUAUUUAUAUUAUUGUUUCCAUCAAUUCCAUAAUUUCUCACUCUAUAUAACCUCCUAUAUACUACUACACAUUCCCGGAGCAACGCACGUGGUGUCAUCUAGUAUGUCAAAGAUUGUAGAGUAGCACUUAAGUCAUUCAUAUAUUGCAAGGACGAAGCUUUGGUUUUGUGAAGAAUAAGAUGGAAAAGGUGAAGGUGCAUUGCACACAGCCAAAUUGCGCCUUCUAUCUUUUUGCAUCAAAGAUAGCUAGUGAGUCCACUUCUAUGGUCAGAGAGGAUGUAGAGCCACACUCGUGUGGAUUAAUAGAGUGGACACUAGGCUGAAUUCCACAUGGAUAGCUUCUCAUUAUGAGGCUCAGUUCAGAGUUGAUCCCAAUUGGAGGCUUGAUGCUUUCAUGGAGGCUGUUAAGGGAGAUUUUAAUUUUGAAAUAAGAAAGAGGAUAGCAUAUAGGGCUAUAUCUUAUGCCCAAAAGAAGGUUCUUGGGGAUGAAUACAAGCAAUAUCUUAGAAUUAGAGACUACUUGCAUACAUUAUUGAACAAAAAUCAUGGAAGCAUCGCUAUAGGUACCACUCAGCCAAAUCUCAAGCCACAUGCCAAUGCUAAUCCUCUAUUCACCGGGCUGUUUGUGAGUUUUCAUUCACAAGACCCAGGAUUCUUAUUCGGCUAUAGGCCAUUCAUUGGAUUAGAUGGUUGUUUUGUCAAGCUAGCUAAUGGUGCACAAGUUUUAGCUGCCUCCACAAGAGAUGGCAACAACAACAUGUUUCCUUUAGUGUUUGGAGUGGUUAACAUAAAGGACAUUAACAAUUGGACAUGAUUUCUGCAAACACCAGAGUCAGCAAUUGGAUAGGGAGAGCAACAUGGUGGAUGGACAAUCAUGUGAGAUAGGGAGAAGGUAAUAACAUAUUUCUUAUCUUUUUCAUUUAUAUGUUACAUUUGAUUUGCAUGUUGUAACUGACAACUCUUCCAUUUAUUUGUGAGAGGGAUUACUUUCAGCAGUCACAAAGAUUUUUCCAUGUUGUGAACAUAGAUUUUGCAAAAGGCACGUUCUCACAAACUUCUCUAGAGCUAGAUUCAGAGGUGAAAUCUACAAGAAAUACUUUGAUAAGGUUGUUUAUGUAUUCACUUUGAAUGAGUACAAUAUUGACAUGGAGAACUUGAAAUCUUAUGACUUAGAAGCAUGGACGUGGGUUAGAGAAAUACCCAAGGAGCACAUUAGUAGGCAUGCUUUCAACACAAGAUCCAAGACUGAUCUUGUUGUGAACAACCUCAGUGAGGUGUUCAACAAAUACAUCCUUGACUAUAGAUAAAAGCCAAUUCGUACCAUGACGGGGCUCAUCAGAACUAGAGUUAUGAAAAUAUUUUGUUUGAAAAGAAAGGGAUGUGAGUCGGUGGCUAAGAGCAAAGCAAGGUAUUGCACAACUCAUCAAUUUAGUGUUGGGCUUUCGCAAGUAAACAACACUGAUAAGACCAAUGAAGUAAACAUGCUUAAUAAGACUUGUGGUUGUUUCAGAUUUCAAUUAUGUGGUUUUCCUUGUGAACAUGCGUGUGCAACUAUAUUUAAGGCUAAGGAAAGGCGUGAGAAUUAUGUUGAUGAUUUCUUCAAGUUGAAAAAUUACAAGAAAUCAUAUGGACACAUGAUAUACCCUGUUCCACAUGAAUCUGAGUGGAUUAAGACAUCAAGUCCAGACAUCGAGCCACUAGGUUACACUAUUCAACCAGGAAGGCCAAAGAAAAAUAGAAUAAAAGGGCAUGAGGAGAGUGGUUAUGCUUAUGCAAGAGAAAAAGAAGGAACAAUACAUUGUGGAAAUUGCAAGGAACUUGGCCACAAUGUCAAGGGCCGCAACAAGCCACUAAGAGCAUAUCUUGCUCUUAGGGUGAGAAAACAUGUGGUAAGCGCUCUCUUUUCCUUAAGAAAUUACAUUGCCGGUACUUGAUUCAAGUAUGGUACCAAAUAACCGCAUUUUUACUCUCUACAAUGCAAGACAUUGACAACAAGAACACAUCGGAGAAAUGCCAGUCCACCAGAUACACCUAAUACAGAACCUAAGCUACUCUAAGAGCGGGUGCAACAACAACUAGUAGGGGGAGAGGAAAAGUAGCUACAAAGAAGCCUAGAAGUUCAGCAUCGGGAGCACCUAUGACUGCUAGCACUGCUGCUCCAACAGAAUCUAGUAAGGGGAGAGAAAUAGGAGCAUCCAAAGUACCUAAAGGUACUCCUAAAACAUCAACUGGUAAGGGGAGAGGAAGAGGAGCACCUAAAGUAUCUGCAGCUAAAUUCCAGGUAAAAGAAUCACUUCUAGAAUAAAUGUAGGUGGCAAUAUUUUAUUGUUGUUUACAUCAUCUCAUAAUAUUCAGGUCCAAGAAUCACAUGCAUCAUUAUCAAGUGAUGCAGCAAUUGUGAGAGGAAGAGGGCCUGCUAGUAGUGGAACGGGGUUGCAUUUCAACCUAAUUAUGGACAUAAUAGAUCUUAUGGAAGAAGUUCAAGUGGGAGAAUGCACUCCUAGUUCACCAUUGGUGCUAGUGCAACUGCUACAGAUGGUGGUGCUAGAGAGGAGUAGCAAUUACCUCAUUUGAUAGCCUAUAUAGUUAAAAACUCAUGUCUCAUGUUUUUAUUUUGAACCCCUAUUAUGUUUUUAUUUUAAUAUCUCUAUCAUGUUGAACUCAUGCCUCAUGGAGAACUCAUAUGCAGAGUUUGAUUUGAUGAUGUUUACCUUCUUUGUGUAAUGGAUUAGGAAAAUGCAAUGUGGACAAAAGGCAUGUGUUCUGUCAAAAAUAUGGUAGCUUAUAUCAGACUUAUGCACAUCGUUAUGUGAUGACCCACAAGUAUAGGGGAUCAAUCGUAGUCCUUUCGAUAAGUAAGAGUGUCGAACCCAACGAGGAGCAGAAGGAUCUGACAAGUGGUUUUCAGCAAGCUAAAAUCUGCAGGCACUGAAAUUGUCGGUAACAAGUGAUUGUGUGGUGAGAUGAUUCGUAGCAAGCAACAAGUAGAAAAAGUAGAAAUGGUGUAGCAAAGUGGCCCAAUCCCUUUUGUAGCACAGGACUAGCCUGAAAAAAGUCUUAUAGGAGAAAAAACGCUCCUGAGGACACACGGGAAUUUCUGUCACGCUAGUUUCAUCAUGUUCAUAUGAUUCGCGUUUGUUACUUUGAUAGUUUGAUAUGUGGGUGGACCGGCGCUUGGGUACUUACCUUACUUGGACAAGCAUCCACUUAUGAUUAACCCCUCUCGCAAGCAGCCGCAACUACGAAAGAAGAAUUAAGACAAAGUCUAACCAUAGCAUUAAACUAGUGGAUCCAAAUCAGCCCCUUACGAAGCAACGCAUAAACUAGGGUUUAAGCUUCUGUCACUCUAGCAACCCAUCAUCUACUUACUACUUCCCAAUUCCUUCCUCUAGGCCCAAAUAAUGGUGAAGUGCUAUGUAGUCGACGUUCACAUAACACCACUAGAGGAAAAACAACAUACAACAUAUCAAAUUACCGAACGAAUACCAAAUUCACAUGACUACUAUUAGCAUGACUUAUCCCAUGUCCUCAGGAGCAAAAGUAACUACUCACAAAGCAUAAUCAUAUUCAUGACCAGAGAGGUAAUGAAUAGCAUCAAGGAUCUGAACAUAAACUCUUCCACCAAAUAAUCCAACUAGCAUCAACUACAAAGAGUAAUCAACACUACUAGCAACCUUACAAGUACCAAUCGGAGUCGCGAGACGGAGAUUGGUUACAAGUGAUGAACUAGGGUUUGGAGAUGAGAUGGUGCUGAUGAAGAUGUUGAUGGUGACGAGUCGCCUCCGAUGAGAGGAGUGUUGGUGAUGACGAUGGCGACGAUUUCCCCCUACGGGAGGGAAGUUUCCCCGGCAGGAUCGUCCUGCCGGAGCUCUAGAUUGGUUCUGCUCAAGUUCUGCCUCGUGGAAGCGGCGAAACCACGAAAAAGCUACUCCUUGAUUUUUUCCUGGAAAAAACCCUCCAUAUAGAAAAAGAGGGGAGCAAGUGGGCCAGUGGGCUGCCAACAAGCCCUCAUGGCGCGACCUGGGGGGGUGGCCACACCGUGCAGGCUUGUGGGCACCCCCUGGUGCCCCUCUUGCACUUCUUCGGCCCAGUAUUUUUGAUAAAUCGGGAAAAAAAAUCCUCGUUGAUUUUUACGGCAUUUGGAGUUGCGUAGGAUAGGUAUCUCAACUUUGCUCCACUUUCAGGCCAGAAUUCGAGUUGCCGGCAUUCCCCCUCCUCAUGUAUACCUUGCAAAAUAAGAGAGAAAAGGCAUAAGAAUAGUACCGUGAAGUGAAAUAACAACCAAUGAAGCGAUAGAUAUCAACAUGAAAACAUGAUGCAAAAUGGACGUAUCAACUCCCCAAGCUUAGACCUCGCUUGUCCUCAAGCGAAAGCCUAGCUCAAUAAAUAUGUCCACAUGUUUAGGGAGAGAGGUGUCGACAAAACAAGAUACGAACAUGCAUGCAUCAUGAUCAUGAUCAGAACAGCAAUACCAACAUAUAAUCUCUCAUGCUAAAGUGACAAUUCCUUCACAAAGUAAAGCAUGGAUCAAGAACCUUACCGAGAAGUAACAACCGAUAGCCUUUAGUCAUUGAAGCAAUUGCAAUUUAUGACAACAUCAGAAAGAGUCAAAUAAGAGCUUGUAAAGAAAACCCACAUACUCAAACAUUCUUUCGUCCUCUACAAUUGCUACAACUCACGUGGUACUCAUGAGAUCAAAGUUUCAGGUGGACACAUAGAAAGAUAGGGGCUUAUAGUUUUGCCUCCCAACUGCUUACCUCAAGGGUAAUGUCAACAAUAAUAAUUCAUGAAUACUUACCCCCCAAGUUGACAUAUGAAUAUAGAUCUUUCCCAAGCAUAUGACGGUAGCCAAGAUAAAGGCGGAAUAAGGAAUUGGUGAAGAUCACCAUGACUCUUUCAAGGGAAAAAAGUAAAGGUACAAGAUAGGCCCUUCGUAGAGGGAAGCAGAGGUUGUCAUGCGCUUUUGAGGUUUGGAUAGGUGCCCUGUUAGUGGGUAGGAACGUCACUUUAUAUUGCCCCCUGUGAUAAAGAACUUUAUUAUGCAGUCUGUCGCUUUUAUGUCUUCCUCAUCACAGGUUCGUAUAAAGCUUAUUUUCCACACACUAAUAGAUCAUACAUAUUAGAGAGCAAUUUUUAUUGCUUGCACCGAUGACAACUUACUUGAGGGAUAUUAUUCAAUCCAUAGGCAGGUAUGGUGGACUCUCAUGGCAAAAUGGGUUGAAGGUUUAUGGAUGCACAAGUAGCAUCUCUACUUAGUGCGGGAGGUUUGGCUAAUGUGAGGUGGAAGCAAUCGUCACAUGCAAAGGGAUCUCUAAUCAUAUAACAUUGUUCGGAACCAAGCAAACACAAUUCAUUAUGUUGUCUUCCUUGUCCAACAUCUACUUCUAGGCAUGCAAUAGUUUAGUGAGUGUUCACAAUCAUAGAUGGUGUCAGAGAUGAUAUAUUUAUAUGUGAACCUCUCCUUCUUUAUCACUUCCUAUUAAUUGCAACAAUGACCAAGGUCUACGUUUGCCUACCCUCAACAAGUUUCAAUCCUCAUUCUUUUUAUAUGUGAAGCCAUCACUUCCCAUAAGAUCAUUACAUGAUCUUUCAUGCUUUUGUUCUAUUCUCACUCUUUUGAUCAUGGCAAGAGGCAAAGCCCUUCAACUAAGAUACUCUUUAUUAUAUGGCUCACGAGCAAGAAUACAUUGGAGGUGACACAAAGCAAAACUCAAGACUAAAACACUAAGACUUUUAAACUACUAGAGAAAGAGAAAACUGAAAAGGAAAACUAAAACAAAAGGUAAAGGCAAAAGAUGUGAUGGUGAUACGAUACCGGGGCAACUCCCCCAAGCUUGGCACAAGCCAAGGGGAUUGCCCAUACCAAUGCUCAGUUGCCUUCCUUUGGUGGUGAUGGUGGAGUUGUUGCAACUUGAGUUUGAUCCUCCGUCUUCCAAGGCAUAGGUGCUCCAUCAUGGAAAGAUGAAUGAGUCUCCAGAAUCCUCAAAUUUGCAGCCAACCAUAUAGAUUUAAAUCUAUACUCAUACUCAGAGUUUUGGUUCUGUAGGUCAUAGAUCUGGGCCUGGAGUUGAUCAAUCCUGUCAUAGAGCCUGGAGAGGUGCUUUCUAAUGUCAUUGGCGUCAAUCCUGUGCUUGUUGGUGAACUCCGUGAUCAUCAUGUGGUUGGUGUUGAGUCCACGCUCCACCAUCCCUUCGCACUUGAAGACUUGUUGUUCCAUUGCUUCGAGCCUCGUCUCCAUGCUUCCGCUCUUCUUAGGCCCCUCAACAUCACGGAUGUGCAACAUCCCCUCUCGCAUCUCGAUAGAUUGAGGGUGUUGCAACACUCCCGUGAGGUAGGGAUUGAUGACCUUCUCGAAGAUCUUGUCCUUCGGAGCUUUUGGAGAAGUCAUAGCGAUCUAGAUCUGCAACAGAAACAGGCUCGACACAAAAAACAGAGGAAAUCUGCGUGAUGCAUGGGUCAGAGCAAAUGGAAGUAUAUAUAAUGAUUUUUUUCAGACCAGAAGGAGUACCUUGCACGAAAACGGAGUCCGCGAGGCCCAUGAGGUGGCCACAAGCCCUCACGACACGGCCAGGGGGUGGGCCCGCGCCGUGCAGGCUUGUAGCCUCCUCGCGCACUUUCCGCACUACUUCCAAUUUUUGUAUUUUUUCAAAUAUUCCAAAAUGGAGAAAAUUUCCUACUGGAAAAUUUUUGGACUGUGUUUUCUUACCGAAUCACAUACCUCUUCGUUUUCGGAGUCUGAAACAGGUUGAUAAAUAUCUCUUAGGUAUUCUUUCGGGGUUAUGGUAUUGAUGAUAUUGCUUUAAACAUUUAUGGGAGUACCUGAGAUAUAAUGCUUGAUUCUCUGCCCAUUUACCACUCUCGGACAAUUACCUUCCAUGUUGUUGAUCUUGAUAGCACUGAAACGAUAUACUUCCUCAACAACAUAGGGACCUUCCCAUUUAGAGAGAAGCUUGCCUGCAAAGAAUCUUAAACGAGAGUUAUAUAGCAAGACAUAAUCACCUACAUUGAACUCAUGUUUUUGUAUCCUCUUAUCAUGCCACCUCUUAACCUUCUCUUUGAACAACUUUGCAUUCUCAUAUGCCUGAGUUCUCCACUCAUCAAGCAAGCUAAUAUCAAAUAACCUCUUCUCACCGGCAAGUUUGAAAUCAAAGUUGAACUCUUUGAUUGCCCAAUAAGGUUUAUGCUCUAGCUCAAGAGGUAAAUGACAUGCUUUACCGUACACCAUUCUUUAUGGAGACAUGCCCAUGGGAUUCUUAUAGGCAGUUCUAUAAGCCCACAGUGCAUCAUCGAGCUUCUUAGACCAAUUCUUUCUAGACCUGUUGACGGUCUUUUGUAGAAUUAGUUUAAUCUCUCUAUUUCUUAGCUCUACUUGACCACUGGACUGAGGGUGAUAGGGAGACGCAAUUCUAUGGUUGACAUCAUACUUAGUAAGCGUUUUACGGAAAGCACCAUGAAUGAAGUGUGAACCACCGUCGGUCAUUAGAUAUCUAGGGACUGCAAAUCUAGGGAAGAUAACUUCUUUCAGCAUCUUGAUAGAGGUGUUGUGAUCAACACUACUAGUGGGGAUAGCUUCUACCCACUUAGUGACAUAAUCACAACAACUAGGAUGUGAGUAUACCCGUUGGAUUUUGGAAAAGGUCCCAUAUAAUCAAAGCCCCAAACAUCAAAUGGUUCAAUGACAAGUGAAUAGUUCAUAGGCAUUUCCUGAGUUUGCUAAUAUUACCUAUUCUUUGACAUUCGUCACAAGACAAGACAAACUUACGGGCAUCCUUGAAGAGAGUGGGCCAACAGAAACCUGAUUGCAAUAGCUUGUGUGCAGUUCUAUCUCCCGCAUGGUGUCCUCCGUAGGCCUCGGAGUGAAACUUCUGCAGGAUCUGUCCCUGUUCUUGUUCAGGUACACAACGUCUAAUAACACCAUCUAUUCCUUCCUUAUAAAGGUGAGGAUCAUCCCAAAAGUAGUGUCUCAAGUCAAAGAAGAAUUUCUUAUUUUGCCGGUAUGUGAAACUAGGUGGUAUGUAUUUGGCAACGAUGUAGUUUGCAUAAUCAGCAUAGCAUGAUGCACUACGUGAAGCAUUGAUGACAUUCAAUUGCUCAUCGGGAAAGCUAUCAUCAAUAGGUUGUGGGUCAUCAAGGACGUUCUCCAACCUAGACAAGUUAUCUGCUACUGGGUUAUCAGCACCCUUUCUGUCAACAACGUGCAAAUCAAAUUCUUGUAGCAAGAGAACCCAUCUAAUAACUCUAGGUUUAGCGUCUUUCUUGUCCAUGAGGUACUUAAUAGCAGCAUGAUGAGUGUGAAUAGUGACUUUGGAAUCAACUAUGUAAGAUCUGAAAUUUUCACAUGCAAACACGACUGCUAAAAAUUCCUUUUCCGUAGUGGCAUAGUUUCUCUGGGCACUGUCUAGAGUUUUACUAGGGUAGUGAAUAACAUUCAACUUCUUAUCAAGUCUUUGCCCUAGAACAACACCAACAUCAUAGUCACUAGCAUCACACAUGAUCUCAAAAGGAAAGUUCCAAUCAGGUGGUUGAACAAUAGGUGCAGUUAUCAAAGCCCUCUUAAGUAUUUCGAAGGCUUCCUCACAAUCAUCGUCAAAGACAAAAGGAAUAUCCUUUUGCAAGAGAUUGGUAAGAGGCCUAGAAAUCUCAGAGAAGUCUUUAAUGAAUCUUCUAUAGAAACCAGCAUGACCAAGGAAACUUCUUAUACCUUUGAUAUCUAUGGGGUAUGGCAUUUUCUCGAUUGCAUCAACCUUAGCCUUAUCGACUUCAAUACCUCUUUCAAAAAUUUAUGUUCUAAGACGAUGCCUUCAUUAACCAUAAAGUGGCACUUCUCCCAAUUCAACAUAAGAUUGGUGUCUGUACAUCUCUGUAAGACUCGAUCAAGGUUGCUGAGGCAAUCAUCAAAGGAAGACCCGUAAACGGAGAAGUCAUCCAUGAAAACCUUAACAAUCUUUUCACAAAAGUCAGAGAAUAUAGCCAUCAUACAUCUUUGAAAGGUGGCAGGUGCAUUACAUAAGCUAAAAGGCAUACAUCUAUAAACAAAGGUACCGAAAGGGCAGGUGAAAGUGGUUUCUCCUGAUCAUAUUGUGCAACUAGUAUUUGGGAGAAACCAGAAUAACCGUCUAGAAAGGAGAAGUGUGUGUGUUUAGACAGCCUUUCUAGAAUUUGGUCGAUAAAAGGCAGAGGGUAAUGAUAUUUCCUAGUGGCCUUAUUCAACUUCAUAAAAUCAAUCACCAUCCUAUAGCGAGUAAUAAUCCUCUGUGGGAUCAAUUCAUCCUUAUCAUUAGGGACAACGGUAAUGCCUCCCUUCUUAGGAACGCAAUGCACCGGACUUACCCAAUCGCUAUGAGCAAUAGGAUAGAUAAUACCCGCUUCUAGGAGCUUUAGUAUUUAUUUUCUUACUACUUCUUUCAUCUUAGGAUUUAAUCUCCUUUGAUGAUCAACAACUGGUUUGAAAUCAGGAUCAGUUUUGAUCUUGUGCUGGCAUAGAGUGGGACUAAUGCCCUUAAGAUCAUCAAGAGUAUAUCCAAUAGCAGCACGACGCUUCCUCAGAGUUUUUAGUAACUUAUUUUCUUCAUGCUCCGAGAGGCUAGCACUAAUUAUAACAGGAUAUAUCUCUUUUUCAUCAAGAUAGGCGUACUUAAGAGUAUGCGGCAACUGUUUAAGCUCGAACACAGGAUCACCCUUUGGUGGGGGUGGAUCCCCAAGCAGUUCAACAUGCAAGUUAUUCUUAACGAUAGGAUAUUGUUCCAAGACAACUCUAUCUAUUUCAGCCCUUUCAUCCAUAUGCAUAUCAUUUUCAUGCUCAAGCAAGUAUUGCUCUAAGGGAUCAGUAGGAGGCACAUCAAUAGAAGCUAAGGCAAUAGUUUCAUCCUUACUAGGCAACUCCUUUUCAUGAGGUUGUCUACCAAACUUAGAGAAACUGAACUCAUGUGACACACCUUCAAAGCCAACAGUGACAGUUUGCUUCUCACAAUCAAUAUGAGCAUUGGCAGUAUUGAGAAAAGGUCUGCCAAAUAUGAUGGGACAAAAGCUAUCUUGUGCGGUAGCAAGAACGAGGAAAUCAGCAGGAUACUUCGUUUUACCACACAAGACUUCAACAUCCCUAACAAUUCCGACAGGGCAGAUAGUAUCUCUAUUGGCAAGCUGAAUAGUGACAUCUAUAGGUUCUAUCUCUACAGGUGCAAUCUCAUCUUUGAUUUCAUCGUAUAAGGAUUGAGGUAUUGCACUAACACUAGCACCCACGUCACAUAAGCCAUGAUAACAAUGAUCUCCUAUCUGAACAGAAACCACAUGCAUACCAACAACAGGCCUAUGUUUGUCUCUAGCGUGAGGUUUAGCAAUUCUAGCAGCAUCUUCACAGAAGUGAAUAUUAUGUCCCUCAACAUCGUCGGACAGAAGAUCUUUGAUGAUAGCAAUGCUAGGUUCAACUCUAAUCUGCUCUGGGGGUGUAGGUGUUCUAAUGUAGCCUCUACAUAUCACAGUUGAAGCUUUAGAAUGAUCCUUUAUCCUAAUAGGGAAAGGUGGUUUCUGAAUGUAGGCACUGGGAACAAUAGGAUCGUUAUAGGGAAUGAAUUUCUCUUCAACAGGAGUGGGUUUAACUACAUUGACUUCUAAAGGAGGAUGAUAUUUAAACCACUUCUCUCUAGGGAGAUCAACAUGAGCAGCAAAGGAUUCACACAAUGAAGCUACUAUCUUAGAGUCAAGUCCAUACUUAGUGCUAAAGUCACAAAAAGUAUUUGUCUCAACAAAGGAUUUAACGCAAUCAAACAUGAAAUUCAUACCUGACUCCUUACCUUCUUCAAGCUCCCAAUCUUGAGAGUUGCGUUUGAUUCUCUCCAAUAAAUUCCAUUUGAAGUCAAUAUCUCUCUUCAUAAAAGAACCGGUACAAGAAGUGUUAAGCAUGGUGCGAUCAUCAUGAGAAAGCCGAGCAUAGAAAUUCUGAAUGAUAAUUUCUCUCGAGAGCUCAUGAUUGGGGCAUGAAUAUAGCAUUGAUUUAAGCCUCCCCCAAGCUUGAGCGAUGCUUUCUCGAUUGUAGUCUCAUGAUCCAGUAUCAUCACAUAGCCUAUACCAUGUCAACGCCUUAUCCUUCAAAGAUAAAGGAAAGACCUUCUUCUUGACCUCAUCCUUGGGCACACCUGCAAGCUUAAAUAAACCACUAACCUCAUCUACAUAGAUUAGAUGCAAGUCCAGAUGUGAUGUUCCAUCUCCUGUAAAAGGAUUAGCUAGCAGUUUCUCAAGCAUAUCCGAAGGAAAUUGAAAGCAAAUAUUUUCAGUAGGUGCAGCAGGUUGAGGAGCAACUCUUUGUGCUUCUGUUUGAGGUGAAGAUACCCCGAACAAGCCCCUCAAAGGAUUAGUAUCCAUAGUGACAAGUGACAACAAAUUUCAGCACACUAUAUGAAUGUUUCCUUACCAAGUUCCACUUACCAAAGGCGCUUCACUCCCCGGCAACGGCGCCAGAAAAGAGUCUUGAUGACCCACAAGUAUAGGGGAUCAAUCGUAGUCCUUUCGAUAAGUAAGAGUGUCGAACCCAAUGAGGAGCAGAAGGAUCUGACAAGUGGUUUUCAGCAAGGUAAAAUCUGCAGGCACUGAAAUUGUCGGUAACAAGUGAUUGUGUGGUGAGAUGAUUCGUAGCAAGCAACAAGUAGCAAAAGUAGCAACGGUGCAACAAUGUGGCCCAAUCCCCUUUUUAGCAAGGGACAAGCCUGGACAAAGUUUUAUAGGAGGAAAAACGCUCCCGAGGACACACGGAAAUUUCUGUCAUGCUAGUUUCAUCAUGUUCAUAUGAUUCGCGUUCGUUACUUUGAUAGUUUCAUAUGUGGGUGGACCGGUGCUUGGGUACUGCCUUACUUGGACAAGCAUCUCACUGAUGAUUAACCCUCUCGUAAGCAUCCGCAACUACAAAAUAAGAAUUAAGACAAAGUCUAACCAUAGCAUUAAACUAGUGGAUCCAAAUCAGCCCCUUACAAAGCAACGCAUAAACUAGGGUUUAAGCUUCUGUCACUCUAGCAACCCAUCAUCUAAUUACUACUUCCCAAUGCCUUCCUCUAGGCCCAAAUAAUGGUGAAUUGUUAUGUAGUCGACGUUCACAUAACACCACUAGAGGAAAAACAACAUACAACAUAUCAAAUUACCGAAUGAAUACCAAAUUCACAUGACUACUAUUAGCAUGACUUAUCCCAUGUCCUCGGGAACAAAAGUAACUACUCACAAAGCAUAAUAAUAUUCAUGACCAGAGAGGUAAUGAAUAUCAUCAAGGAUCUGAACAUAAACUCUUCCACCAAAUAAUCCAACUAGCAUCAAUUACAAAGAGUAAUCAACACUACUAGCAACCUUACAAGUACCAAUCGGAGUCGCGAGACGGAGAUUGGUUACAAGUGACAAACUAGGGUUUGGAGAUGAGAUGGUGCUGAUGAAGAUGUUGAUGGUGACGAGUCCCCUCCCAUGAGAGGAGUGUUGGUGAUUACGACGACGACGAUUUCCCCCUCCGGGAGGGAAGUUUCCCCGGCAGGAUCGUCCUGCCGGAGCUCUAGAUUGGUUCUGCUCAAGUUCCUCCUCGUGGCAGCGACGAAACCACGAAAAAGUUCCUCCUUGAUUUUUUUCCUUGACGAAACCCUCCAUAUAGCAAAAGAGAGGAGCAAGUGGGCUAGUGGGCUGCCCACAAGCCCUCAUGGCGUGGCCUGGGGGCAUGGCCGCGCCGUGCAGGCUUGUGGGCACCCCCUGUUGCCCCUCCGGCACUUGUUCGGCCCAGUAUUUUUGAUAAAUCGGGAAAAAAAUCCUCAUUGAUUUUUACGUUAUUUGGAGUUGCGCAGAAUAGGUAUCUCAACUUUGCUCCACUUUCAGGCCAGAAUUCCAGUUGCCGUCAUUCUCCCUCUUCAUGUAAACCUUGCAAAAUAAGAGAGAAAAGACAUAAGAAUAGUACCGUGAAGUGAAAUAGUAGCCAAAGAAGCGAUAAAUAUCAACAUGAAAACAUGAUGCAAAACUGAUUCAUAUACAUUAUUGUCAGUUUCACAUGCUAUCAAAAUUGUCGUUCCAAAGUACAAAAAUAAUCCCGCAGCUCUUACAUACAUGGUUUGAUGAAGAGAAAUAGACAAGCAAAAAUAAUAGUUUGAAUUUCUUUCAUCACAUUGAUAUUUGUCCAAAUUCCUACAUACAUAUCGGUAGUUUAAUACUACCACAAAAAUCACACUUCAACGUCACUAGGUCAAUACAACAUCACUAGUUCACUACUUUACAUAUAUAACCACACUCCACCAUCACCAACAGACUCAAAUACACGUAAAGUGGAUGUAGCUACAUUCAGUCACUCAAUUGUUGUCCAAGUACGUCACAACAACAACAACAGCUGCAAACAGAAGCACGACAAAUGAAAUGCCAAGCUCUUUUUUCAUCUGCACCAAGCUGAGCAACUUCACGGCACACAACUCAUGCACUGUUAGCAGCUCAUCAUUCUUCAUGAAAAUGGCUUCUAGGUGAUACAUCAAACCAGCUACCACAUAAUCACUAGAGGAGUUAAUUGCAUCCCUAUUCACACAUACAAUAGGCCAACAAUGUUUGUACAUGGACUUGCAAGGAGAAACAAUUCAGAGGAAGAAAUAAGCUUGCUGACC